rnacentral:rRNA from 1 species
GAGGGGGGUGCAAACGUUGUUCGGAAUUACUGGGUGUAAAGGGUGCGUAGACGGUAUGCUAAGCUCGUUGUUAAAUUUUCCGGGCUUAACCGGAAGCAAGCGAUGGGAACUGGUGUACUCGAGGAUGGAAGAGAGAAGUGGAAUUCCCGGAGUAGCGGUAAAAUGCGUAGAUCUCGGGAGGAACACCGAUGGCGAAGGCAGCUUCUUGGUCCAUUCCUGACGUUGAGGCACGAAAGCGUGGGGAGCAAACAGGAUUAGAUACCCUGGUAGUCCACGCCCUAAACGAUGAUCACUAGACGUCGGGUCGGCUUUGCUGACUCGGUGUCGAAGCUAACGCGUUAAGUGAUCCACCUGGGGAGUACGGUCGCAAGAUUA